ensembl:lncRNA
GAAAAUAUUAGAAGUUUUACUGAUAUAUAUGGAAUCACUUUAGAUAUUUUUAGGAUUUUUUUGGAAGAUUUUUACUAAUUUUUUGAAAACAUUUACAAUAGUUUUUUUUUUUUUUUUUUUAAAUUUCGUACCAAAUUUGGGGUUUAAGAAAAAACUUUUAAGGGAAACUUUUAAGGAAUUAUUGGAAUUUUCUUCCUGAAGGUUUUGCAAAUUUUCAGAAAUUUGUGGAAUUUUUUUUUUGCUGAAUUUUUGGAUUUUUUCCUGACAAGGAAACAAUAUUUUUUGGUGCCCAUAAAUGAAGACAGCAGGAGGGUUAAGGUCCUCCAUGAUGGUGGAGAACACCACUAGUCUGCAUCAUGAAGAGCACCAGUGUUAUAUUAAUGUUAUAUUUAUGUUACCCACUGAACUCCUGAGCCAGAAACCAGCACACGUUUAAUAGUUGGACGGAAUCUCGUCUCUGUUGCACUCACACUGUAGCUCUGCAGUGUUUCUCCUUUCUGCUGCUCCACGUUUAAAAUGUUUGAAUGUAUUUAAAGUUCUAUGUUUAAAUAAUUCAGAAUUGUAUGUUUUCCUAGUUACAGUUGCUCCCUGUUGUGCAGGUGCAGCUCAGGUGGUUAGGGUUGGAUGAUGGAGCUUCUCAUCACCUCCAUCAGGAAACUGCAUCACAGCUCACCUGGAUAAACAGAGAGGCUGCUGGUCCUGAACCUCAUUAGAGCCUCAGAUCUGACGGAUGUUUCCAUCACUUCCCCUCCUCUGGUCUCCUGUGGUCAUGUGACACAUGGCUGCUGUCACUCUGAUUGGCUGAGAGUCAGACAGGAAGAAGCAGCGACUGCAGGCUUUUAACUGGAACCUGAAGAUGGAAAAUAACAAAUAUAAUCAGGGUGAAUGCGGAGUUUCUCAGUGAGACGGAGGACAGGAGCUGUUCCCACACAGACAGGAAGUCCAACUGGAGGACCAGAACGAGUAAAGUGCUGAGCUCAUGUGAGCUCAUUUAGAAGGAAAUACAUCUUCAGCAGCAGGUCAGUGCUGGAGGCUGCAGGAGGAGCUGCUCUACUCUCCUUCAUAUCCAGGUUAAAAACAUCUGAGGCUCCAACAGGAGAAGGAAGAAGAUUAAAGAAAGUUCUGAUCCACUGAUCUGGUCUCAGUGUUUCUACAACAUCUGGUUUCUGCUCACAUGGUGGAUGUUUGGAACUUUUACUGAGAUUAGUGAGAGGUUUAGAGGAAAAAUCUGCUCACAACUCAGAGAAUAAAACACUGGAACGCCUUCAGAGGAGUCAUAGGAGUCUUGGUGGCCUCCCUCUCUAGUCUCUUUCUCCUUCAGAGGAGUCAUAGGAGUCUUGGUGGCCUCCCUCUCUAGUCUCUUUCUCCUUCAGAGGAGUCAUAGGAGUCUUCGUGGCCUCCCUCUCUAAUCUCUCAGGUCUUGAGAAUGUCCUGCUCUAGUCAGAUUUAUUCAUGUUCUAUCUUCCUUCCAUUUCUUAAUGAUGGAUUUAACUGGACUCCAGGAGGUCUUCAGGAACUUUAAAUGUUCUUGUAUCGUCCUCACUGAUGCUUUUCAACAACUUUUUGUGAGAGUUUCUUGGUUCUUCAGUCUUCAUGGUGUAGAUCUAUCCAGGAGUUCUGAUCCACCAGAGACUGGACCUUCAGAUCCAGGAGUCUUUAUCCUCCAAUCACUGACCUCAGAUCAGCCAUGAAUGACUUCUGGACCAACUGGCUGCAGCUCAGUUCCAUCAGAGUCACAUUAACCCUUGUGUCGUCC